rnacentral:rRNA from 1 species
AGGAUGAACGCUAGCGGCAGGCUUAACACAUGCAAGUCGAGGGGCAGCACGAUGUAGCAAUACAUGGGUGGCGACCGGCGCACGGGUGCGUAACGCGUAUGGAAUCUGCCCUUUACUGGGGAAUAGCCCGGAGAAAUCCGGAUUAAUGUCCCAUAACAACCGAGGUGGCAUCACCUUGGUUUGAAAGCUCCGGCGGUAAAGGAUGACCAUGCGCACGAUUAGUUUGUUGGUGAGGUAACGGCUCACCAAGACUACGAUCGUUAGGGGG